UAGUAUGCCGCAUGCCGCACCGCCUGCAUUAACUGAUUGUUGUUGGUCUAGCCACGAAACUUGUCAGUUUGAAUAAAAGUUUGGACACCGGCCAGUUGCUGUAUCGAAUCAAAUCAAAGUUUGAUUUGACAGCCAGACAAACAGACGAACCGAAAAGGAUGCCCGGAAUUGAUGUUGUUCUUUUCGAUUCGCCCAAAACUUCAGCUUGGAGUGGAAACUUUGCGGCAAGAAGGCCAGUACAGCGUAACACGGAGUCCAGGAAUUCAUUUCGCCCGAUCCCCAGCAAUGCUCCAUCCACUUCUGCCCCAAAGCCAAUAUCAAUUUAUCAAUUAAUGCGGCUAAUGAGAGGGCGAACUGUGAAUCGUUGCUGUGUCACUUAAUGCAAGGCUCCCCCAAACACACGUAUAAAACCCCUGUCUUUUAUGUUCCCCCAUUCUGAUUAACUGAACGCGGAAAGCCUCAAAUCCCAUGUAUACUGCAAAUCAUGUUACAAGCAAAGGGAAUGGUUGUAGUCGGGAAAAUGGCAGAAAAUUAGAGAGCUCAUUUUUUGCAUUUUCAGUUCGAUUUGAUUCUGGCUCUUGUCAUUUAAUAUCCGCAAUUAAAGUGGUCAUCAAUCAAAGCGAAACCUAAAUGAAUUAAAAGUAAACGAAAGAACAAAGCAAAGGAUGAAUGCACGGGGCAUAACAGUAAACAGAAGAACCAAAGGAACCGGGAUAAGCGGGAUGGAGCAAAUGAACGAGAAACGAAAGGAAAGAAGCGACUGAAAAGGAAACCGAAAAGCGGCGGCAACAACCGAAGGAUAUAACCCAACACAAACAGCGGUCGCUUACGCACACUGUCACACCAACGAUGACCGUUAUCGUUGU